rnacentral:rRNA from 1 species
CCUACGGGAGGCAGCAGUGAGGAAUAUUGGUCAAUGGUCGGGAGCCUGAACCAGCCAAGCCGCGUGAGGGAUGAAGGUACAGAGUAUCGUAAACCUCUUUUGUCAGGGAACAAAGGCGGGGACGUGUCCCCGGAUGAGUGUACCUGAAGAAAAAGCAUCGGCUAACUCCGUGCCAGCAGCCGCGGUAAUACGGAGGAUGCGAGCGUUAUCCGGAUUUAUUGGGUUUAAGGGGUGCGCAGGCGGUUGGUUAAGUCCGCGGUAAAAGCCCGGGGCUCAACCCAGAAACGCCGUUGAAACUGGCAGUCUCGAGUGGGAGAGAGGUAUGCGGAAUGCGCGGUGUAGCGGUGAAAUGCAUAGAUAUCGCGAAGAACUCCGAUUGCGAAGGCAGCAUGCUGGCUCCACACUGACGCUGAGGCACGAAAGCGUGGGUAUCGAACAGGAUUAGAUACCCGUGUAGUC